rnacentral:rRNA from 1 species
UUUGUGGGGAAAUACCAUGUUGUAAAUUAAUUAACCUGUGCUGUGAUCCAGUCAGAGCAUCAGACUGGGUCAUUGCUUGGAUGGGAGACCUCCAAGGAAAACUCGGGGCCUGCAAAG